rnacentral:lncRNA from 1 species
CUUUUGUUUCGAUUUCAUUAAUUUCAGCUCUGCUUUUAAUUAUUUCUUGCCUUCUACUUCUUUUGCUCUUCUUUUUCUAGGAUUUUGAGAUGAAGUGUGAGAUCAUUUAUUUGUUGGUUUUUUCUUUUUUUAAGGAAUGAACUCCAGGCAAUGAAUUUUCCUCUUAUUUUUAAAAAAGAAUUAUCUAAUGUAAGCUGGGUGUGGUGGCNCAGAUUUUAGAGGGAAUGCCUUCAAUUUUUCUCCAUUCAGAAUGAUGCUAGCCUGAGGCUUAGCAUAGAUAGCUUUUACAAUAUUGAGGUAUGUUCCUGUUAUCCCUAGUUUUUCUAGAGUUUUGAACAUAAAGGGAUGCUGUACUUUGUCGAAUGCUUUUUCUGCAUCUAUCGAGAUGAUCAUAUGGUUCUUAUCUUUAAGUCUAUUGAUGUGGUGAAUAACAUUUAUUGAUUUCCGUAUAUUGAACCAGCCUUGCAUCCCAGGGAUGAAUCCUACUUGAUCAUGGUGCACAAUUUUUUUGAUAUGUUUUUGUAUCCGAUUCGCCAGAAUUUUAUUGAGGAUUUUUGCAUCUAGGUUCAUUAGAGAUAUUGGUCUGUAGUUUUCUUUCUUUGAAGUGUCUUUGUCUGGUUUAGGAAUCAGGGUGAUGUUGGCCUCGUAGAAUGAAUUUGGAAGUUCUCCCUCUUUUUCUAUUUCCUGAAAUAGCUUGAAAAGUAUUGGUAUUAGUUCUUCUUUAAAGGUUUUGUAAAACUCUGCUGUAUACCCAUCCGGUCCUGGGCUUUUCUUAGUUGGUAGUCUUUUGAUGGCUUCUUCUAUUUCCUCAAUUGAUAUUGGUCUGUUUAGGUUGUCUAUAUCCUCCUGACUCAAUCUGGGCAGAUCAUAUGACUUAAGAAAUUUAUCGAUGCCUUCACUAUUUUCUAUUUUAUUGGAGUAUAAGGAUUCAAAAUAAUUUCUAAUUAUCUUCUGUAUUUCUGAAGUGUCUGUUGUGAUAUUGCCUUUUUCAUCCCGUAUGCUAGUAAUUUGAGUUCUCUCUCUUCUUCUCUUCGUUAGCAUGGCUAAGGGUCUGUCGAUCUUAUUUAUUUUUUCAAAGAACCAACUUUUAGUUUUGUCCAUUUUUUCAAUUGUUUCUUUUGUUUCGAUUUCAUUAAUUUCAGCUCUGCUUUUAAUUAUUUCUUGCCUUCUACUUCUUUUGCUCUUCUUUUUCUAGGAUUUUGAGAUGAAGUGUGAGAUCAUUUAUUUGUUGGUUUUUUCUUUUUUUAAGGAAUGAACUCCAGGCAAUGAAUUUUCCUCUUAUUUUUAAAAAAGAAUUAUCUAAUGUAAGCUGGGUGUGGUGGCACAUUCCUGUAACCCCAGCAGCUUGGGAGACUGAGGCAAGAGGAUCAGGAUCGUAAGUUCAAAGCCAACCUCAGCAAAAGUGAGGCGUUCAGAGACCCUGUCUCUAAAUAAAAUACAAAAUAGGAUUGGGGAUGUGGUUCAGUGGUCAAGUGCCCCUGAAUUCAAUCCCUGGUACCCACUCCCCAGAAAAAGAGUUGUCUAAUGUAGAAACAUGUUCAGUAAGUAGGGGAGCAUAGGCUGUAUUUUAUGUUUUAUCUUGUGAUGACUUAGUACCUUAGUUUUUAGUGGGACUUGUGCUAUAUUUGAGUUGUUUUUGUUUUGUUUUUCCCCCUGUAAAGAACUGACUGAAGAGCUGAGGUUGUGGCUUAGUGGUAGAGCACUUACCUAGCACAUGUGAGGCUAGGUUCAAUCCUCAGCACCACUUAAAAAUAAGUAAAUAAAAUAAAGGUAUUGUGUCCUUCUACAACUGAAAAAAAAAAAGGCAAAACAAAAAUCUCACUGAGCCACAGGAGAUGUAGAAGCACACUAAUAACUGCAGGGUAUAUUUGGACUAGCCACCUGAGUUUACACAGGCCACAUCAAGACCAAUAGAGGUGGCCUUAAUGUGCAGUCAUGCACCAUAUGACAUCAUUUUGGUCAGUGACAGAUCAUAUAUAUGACAGUGGUCCCAAAGAUAAUAAUGAACUAAAAAUUGCUAUCACCUAGUGUGUCGCAGCCAUAGUAGCUCAACAGCACAAGGUAUUACCCUUGUGUUUGUGGAAAAGCUGGUGUAAACAAAUCUGUACUUCCAGUUUAAUAGAAGGAUAGCACAUAAAAUCAUAUAUACUGUAAAAAAAUCAUAUAUAGUAUGUAAUACUUGAUAAUAAAUGUUACUGAUGUAUGUAUUCAUUCUAUAUCCUUUUUAUAUGUGGGUGUGUUACUGGGGAUGGAACCCAGGGGCACUGUGCCACCCAGCUAUAUCCCCAGCCUCUCUUUUAAUUUUAUUUUGAGAUAUGGUCAAGUUGCCCAGGCUGAUCUCAACCUUGCUAUCUUCCUGCCUCAGCUUCGUGUUGCUGUAUAUAUUUUUAUCAGUACUUUUAAACCGUAUUCCUGCUUAUUAAGAGAAAGUUUGCUGUGCAGCAGCCCAUACAUCUUGUAUUUCCUGAAUCUCUGGACUGCGCCAUUUUCUUUUGUACUUCAUGUAAUCUCGCGUUGCUGUGUUCAUUGUAGCCUCAGGAGCCAAGAGCCGUACUCCACACACAGCAUACAACCUAAGUGUGUAGCAGGCUAUUCCAUUUAAGUGUGUGUAAAUACACUAUGAUAACUGCACAAUGAUGAAAUUGCCUUAAUGAUGUGUUUCUCAGGCCACAUCCCAUUGUUAAAUGGGAUGACUAUAUAAAGAAAUAUUGUAAACUAGGCACAAUGGUGCACACCUGUAAUCCCAGCAGCUUGGGAGGCUGAGGCAGGAAGAUUAUAAGUUUGAAGCCAGCCUCAGCAAAUUGGUGAGACUCUGUCUCUAAAUAAAAAAUCAAAAGGGCUGGGGUUAAGCACCCCUGGGUUCAAUACAGAUACCAAAAAAAAAAAAAAGAAAGAACUGUUGUAAAUAGGAAGUUUUAAUGUACCAGUAGAAAAAAAGGAAAAGGUCCCAAAAGAUCACAGAGGUAACAGUAAAAAUACAAAUGGUAGUAAAAGCAUGAGUCUGAAUAAACAUGGAUAUGUUAUAUAUUCUGAAAAUCAGUUCCUUUGGCCUAUCCACCUGGCUAAGCACUUUUUAAAUUAUUUAGUUCAGGUAAGAGUGAAGUGAAACUGAGACUCCUGUGCUGCCAUUGGGAGGUGAAAUUGGUGCAACAUUUCUAAUUAGUAAUUCUAGGAGAGUUUGCCUUUGGAAUCUUAAAAAUGUUCAUAUCCCAUGCCUUUUGACCCAGC